UACAGCCAUAUCACAUUGAAGCACCAUUUCUCAUAUGAUCACCAGAGUUAAGCAAUGUCAAGCCUGGUCAGUACCUAGAUGGGUAACCACUUGGGAAUACCAGGUGCU
rnacentral:rRNA from 1 species